GUUUAAAAGCUGUGACUAUCUGUAGGAAGCUUCUGACAAACUCAUUUUCAGAGUUUCUUCAUAGUCAACUUGUUUUAAGUCUGUAUCAUCAUUAGCAGCAGUUAACUUUGAAGACAAAACUGACCCGGAAGUGAAUAUCUGGUCCUUCUGUCUCAUUGGUGUCCUUUAAAAGUUCAAGAGAUCGUCCACACGAAAAGCAAAACUGACUAAUCUGGCUCAAAUGAGUUCCACAAAA